rnacentral:rRNA from 1 species
UACGAAGGGGGCUAGCGUUGCUCGGAAUCACUGGGCGUAAAGCGCACGUAGGCGGAUUGUUAAGUCGGGGGUGAAAUCCUGGAGCUCAACUCCAGAACUGCCUUCGAUACUGGCGAUCUUGAGUCCGGGAGAGGUGAGUGGAACUCCGAGUGUAGAGGUGAAAUUCGUAGAUAUUCGGAAGAACACCAGUGGCGAAGGUGGCCUGCUGGGCAGUAGCUGACGCUGAGGCGCGACAGCGUGGGGAGCAAACAGG